UCCGCCCACUUCCCAAAGUGCUGGGGUUACAGGUGUGAGCUACCACGCCUGGCUGGACUUUUAGUGACUGUAGCUCCAGACAUAGCCAUAGCCCCCAACAGCUCUGUGUGCUGGAGCUGUACCUUUGUGUGGGUGUGUUGGAGACGGCCUCUGGGGUAGCCUUGGCCCUGUGACCUGGGCUGUUGGAGCUCUGUAGCAGGUGGCCCCCAUCACAAGGGGGCACUGUGCAUCUUCCUAAACCAUCACCGCCGCUGGUGGCCAGUGUGUGGGCAAGGAAGGCUGGGAACUGGCACAAAGAUGCCCUCAGCCAGGCCCAGCGCUUCUGCCCCUAUUUCUCUGGGCAGUCCUGGCUCUCCUCAGAGUUUUUGCCCUGGGGGAAGGGAAAGGAUGUCAUUAAAAAUCCUACCUAGUAAGUCUCAUGGGAGGGGUCCAUAGCGAUGUCUCUCCCAACUGCCUCAUUUGACAAGUGGAGAAACUAAGGUUCAGUUGGGAAAUAACCUCUCUCAGACCCAAGCCCGGGAUCACUUCCCAACCCUGAGAUAAAGCCACAUGUGCAACAUGUUCCAACAUGUGCAACAGCUUCCAACACAGGCCGUAAGUGCCCAUUGCAAGACGGGUACUGACAGUGCAUGUUGGAGCUGCUCUGGCCUGGGUUUCUGGUUCUGACUCCAUCACUUACCUGGCGUGUGACUCUGAGUCUCUGAUGCCUUUCUCUGGGCUUCUUUUUCCCAUCAGUAAACUGAGAGGAUUGAUGCCUUUGCUCUUCAAGCCCCUCUUUUCCAGCAUGGGCCUUCUAGUUCCUACAGGUUAGAGGUCAGUGUGACCUGGGAGCAGUGAUGGUUCUGUGCACCUGGUGGGUAAUUAUCCUUGUUAAAGACGGCUGGGCAUUAAGCAUAGCCCAGAGAACUUAGGGUCACACAUGACUUAGUGGCUGAGUCAGGAUGAGAAGAAAGUCAGGCCUCCUGGUCCCUCACCAGCGCCCGCUGCCCUACCCCAGCACCCCCUGCCCUACCCCAGCAGCUAUCCUGACCCUCUCUCUGGGCAUAGGUAUCAGUGCUUCAUUGAUACAACCCUGUGUUCCUCCUUGAAGUUGUCUUGCCAUUUCCCAAGUCAUCUGCCUCCCAUAUCCAUGCCGGGCAGGUCCUGUGCUGGAGACUGUCCUCUCCACUCCCUUAUUGAGUCCUAGGAGAAGCCCCAUUUUACAGAUGGGGAAACCAAGGCUUGAUGGAGUUAAGAAAUAAUAGAAGCUAUUAUUUUUAAACCUUCUCUGUCUCAAUGCCAGACUCUGUGCUGGACACUCACUAAAGUGGGCAGAGAGUGACUAGUCCAACCUCCCAAAUUUUCCCCCAAAUGGUGCCGAGACCUGCCCGGGAUCUGCCAGCCUGAUUUAGACAGCAAUUUGCAUACAAUUUACCCAGAAAGCUGCACUGUGAAAAAAUAUAAUUACUUUUUUAAUAUUCUCGCUCUGAUGUGAAUGCUUACUGCCCGGUAAUGAAUUACUUGCUUAAUGAAGAUAAACCUGAAUUGGAGAUGCACUUCGGACGGCUGCUGCGGCGUCCGGUUUGAUGCCAUCAUUUGCAGCUGUUAAUUUCUGAAAUUGAUGCCCUUGUUGGUGGGAUCAUAAAUUGAGGGGGAAAUCUAUGAGCUCCAGCACUUCCAGUUUUUUACUCUGUGGCAUUGGUGGAGCUACUUAGCCUCUCUGUGCCUCAGUUUCCUCAUCUAUAACAAGGGUAUUGGGGUAAGUUAGAACUAUAUAAAUGUGGGUCCAUCUCACAGUAAAGUGAUCUUUACUGGAGAAUGAUUGAGCAUCUACAAUGUGUCAGGUGAGAGACAGAGGGGAAGUGAUUUAUUCAAAGACACUCAUGGACUCAGAGGCUUCUGAACUAGAAUGAGUAGCCACAGCUUUGUGUCCAGGUGCUACACUUGGAUCUCUUCUCCUAAAUGGCCUUGAAGAUGCCUCCUGACUGCUGGUGAUGGGAAAGAGAGCCAGGCUGAAGUCAGACACUGGUAGGAGAAAAAAAAAAACAAAAAAAACUGUGGAGGUGUGGCCACUGGAAACUCUACCCGUUCCUUUACCUGAUGCUAACCAUGUCUGGGGACUGAUCACAGAAGAGCACAGGGCUGGGGGCCAGCACAACAAGCCAACGAUUCAGCAAAUAUGUAGUUACUGCCAUCUAUGGCCAUAUGUUUUAGGCUCCUAGCACACAGCCAUGAGUAAGACCAGCAAGGUCCCUGCCUACAUGGACCUGAAAUUCUAAAAGGUGUGGUGAACACAUAGCGAUAAUAGAUGAGUUAACUAAGAAUAAAGAUAAAGUCAGAUAAUGAUAAGUGAAAUAAAAUUUUUUAAAUAGAUAAUAUGAAACAGAUCAAUUGAGGGGGUAAUUUUGACUUGGCCUAAAAGACUUCCCUAAAGAGGUGACACCUGGACUGAAAUGUAAAUGAUAUUAAGUCCCAGCAUUUUGGGAGGCUGAGGCAGGAGGAUUGCUUGAGCCCAGGAGUUUGAGGCUGCAGUGAGCUAUGAUUGUGCAACUACAUUCCAGCCUGGGUGACAGAGCAAGACCCCAUCUCUAACUAACUAACUUAAUAACUAACAAACUGAAUGAAUGGAUGAAUGAAUAAAUGAUAUUAAGGAAUCAGCCCUGUAAAUAUUAGAAAUGUGAUUCCAGGUGAGAUCAGAAAAGUAGGUAGGAGGUAGAUCAUAAAGAGCCUUAUAGGUUGUGGAAGGGACUUUGGUUUUAUUUUUUGUGCAGAGGGAAGCCACUGAGGGCUUUCAUAAGGGGAGUGAUAUAAUUUAUUGGCAUUUAUGAAGAUUAUUCCAUAAAAGAAAAUAGAAAAUCUGGAAAACGAUAUCUAUUAAAGAAAUUGAAUUUAUAAUAUAAAAAUUUCCCACCCAGAUGGUUUCACUGGUAAAUUCUAUCAAAUAUUUAAGGAAUAAAUGAUACCAAUCAUACACAAACUCUCAGAAAAUAUACGAGAGAACAUACCCCAACUAAUUUUACGAGCCCAGAGUAAUCCUCCUGCUGAAUUAUUUAGUUCUCCAUAGCUAACUAUGCUGAUAAGUAGUGGCUUAAAACAAUAAUUUGUUGUUAUUAUAUCUCAUGAUUCUAGGGUCAGGAAUUUGGACAGACCACAGUGGAGAUGGCUAAUCUAUGCCCCACGGUGUCUGGGGCCUCAGCCGGGGUGACUCAAAGGUGUCUGUGAUAUGUAACAAUUGGAGGCUGAGUAGGCAUCUUUCUCUCCUCUCCAGGUGGCCUCUCGCUGCAUAAUAUUUCAUUGUAUGGAUAAACUACACAGUUCCCAGUGAUGAAGACCAAGAUUGUUCCCAAUCUGUUUGCUAUUAUAAACAGUGUUGCAACAAACAGGCUUUGUGUGUAUCAUUUCAUAUGAGUACAAGAGUUUCUGUAGACUUGACAAUAAAAAGAUAACCCAAUUGAAAAAACAGA